rnacentral:rRNA from 1 species
GACGAACGCUGGCGGCGUGCUUAACACAUGCAAGUCGAACGGAAAGGCCCUGCUUUUGUGGGGUGCUCGAGUGGCGAACGGGUGAGUAACACGUGAGUAACCUGCCCUUGACUUUGGGAUAACUUCAGGAAACUGGGGCUAAUACCGGAUAGGAGCUCCUGCUGCAUGGUGGGGGUUGGAAAGUUUCGGCGGUUGGGGAUGGACUCGCGGCUUAUCAGCUUGUUGGUGGGGUAGUGGCUUACCAAGGCUUUGACGGGUAGCCGGCCUGGGAGGGUGACCGGCCACAUUGGGACUGAGAUACGGCCCAGACUCCUACGGGAGGCGGCAGUGGGGAAUAUUGCACAAUGGGCGGAAGCCUGAUGCAGCAACGCCGCGUGCGGGAUGACGGCCUUCGGGUUGUAAACCGCUUUCGCCUGUGACGAAGCGUGAGUGACGGUAAUGGGUAAAGAAGCACCGGCUAACUACGUG